GUCACGCCCGAAGUCGUUACUCCAACCUUUCGGGGGGGAGGAUGCCUAAGGCAGGACUGGUGACUGGGGUGAAGUCGUAACAAGGUAGCCGUACCGGAAGGUGUGGCUGGAUCACCUCCUUUUUAGGGAGACCUACACCCCUUACAUAUCGAAAAACACACAGUUAAAUAGAUAGUAAGUUGGUCUAACCUAGGUCGGUCGAGAUUGGUAUAAAGCUUUCAAAGUAUUAAUGGUUCAGAAUAUCAAACAAAACAUAAAAUUUUGUGAGAGUUCAGCAACAUGACUUAAUUGAGUCAGACUGCUGAGUUGAUCUCAGCCAGAACCUUGAAAACUGCAUAGUAACGCGAAAUUAGCAGGCAGACACAGACAUUCUGAAAGAAUGUUGAGUGAAUGCAAAAUGUGAAACACCAAAUGUAUUGAGUGGUCAAGCUAAUAAGGGCUAACGGUGGAUACCUAGGCACACAGAGG
rnacentral:sRNA from 1 species